rnacentral:rRNA from 1 species
UGGUUCUCGCAUCGAUGAGGAACGCAGCGAAAUGAGAUACGUAGUCUGAAUUGCACAAUUCAGUGAAACAUCGAAUCCUUGAACGCACUUUGCGCCCUUUGGUACUCCAAAGGGCACGCCUGUUCGCGCGUCAUUUGUAACCUCAAGCCUUGCUUGGUGAUGGGCGUCUUGUCUCACACGAGACUCGGCUUAAAAUCUAUUGGCAGCCGAACUACUGGUUCCGGAGCGCAGAACAAUUCUUGCACUUAGAAUCAGCCUUUGUUGAGCAACCAUCAAGACCCCAAAUUUUAACCUUUGACCUCCGAUCAGGUAGG